AGAGUUUGAUCCUGGCUCAGAACGAACGCUGGCGGCGUGCCUAACACAUGCAAGUCGAACGGAGUCAUUUUGAAGUAGCAAUACGGAAGAAUGACUUAGUGGCGCACGGGUGAGUAACACGUAGGUAACCUGCCCUUAAGAGGGGGAAAACCCGCCGAAAGGCGAGCUAAUACCGCAUAAGACCACGAACUGAGAUGUUUGUGGUAAAAGGAGCAAUCCACUUAAGGAUGGGCCUGCGGCCUAUCAGGUAGUUGGUGAGGUAACGGCUCACCAAGCCUAAGACGGGUAGCCGGUCUGAGAGGACGGACGGCCACACUGGAACUGAGACACGGUCCAGACUCCUACGGGAGGCAGCAGUGGGGAAUUUUGGACAAUGGGCGCAAGCCUGAUCCAGCCAUGCCGCGUGAGUGAAGAAGGCCUUCGGGUUGUAAAGCUCUUUCAGCCGGGAAGAAAACGCAUGGGUUAAUACCCUGUGUGGAUGACGGUACCGGAAUAAGAAGCACCGGCUAACUACGUGCCAGCAGCCGCGGUAAUACGUAGGGUGCGAGCGUUAAUCGGAAUUACUGGGCGUAAAGCGUGCGCAGGCGGUUUGUUAAGAUAGGCGUGAAAUCCCCGGGCUCAACCUGGGAACUGCGUUUAUGACUGGCAGGCUAGAGUAUGGCAGAGGGGGGUGGAAUUCCACGUGUAGCAGUGAAAUGCGUAGAGAUGUGGAGGAACACCGAUGGCGAAGGCAGCCCCCUGGGCCAAUACUGACGCUCAUGCACGAAAGCGUGGGUAGCAAACAGGAUUAGAUACCCUGGUAGUCC
rnacentral:rRNA from 1 species